rnacentral:rRNA from 1 species
AUUGAACGCUGGCGGCAGGCCUAACAAAUGCAAGUCGAGCGAGCGGCGGACGGGUGAGUAAUGUCUGGGAAACUGCCUGAUGGAGGGGGAUAACUACUGGAAACGGUAGCUAAUAACGCAUACCAUCAGAUGUGCCCAGAUGGGAUUAGCUGGUAGGUGGGGUAACGGCUCACGUAGGCGACGAUCCCUAGCUGGUCGCAGAGGAUGACCAGCCACACUGGAACUGAGACACGGUCCAGACUCCUACGGGAGGCAGCAGUGGGGAAUAUUGCGCAAUGGGCGCAAGCCUGAUGCAGCCAUGCCGCGUGUGUGAAGAAGGCCUUCUGGUUGUAAAGCACUUUUAGCGAGGAGGCGUUACUCGCAGAAUAAGCCACGGCUAACUCUGUGCCAGCCGCCGCGGUAAUAC